CUGGCUCCUGCUCUGUUCAUGAAAAGAAUGUAAUGGAAAGAAUAUGUGUAAAGGAUAAUGCUGCUGAGCUGAACCUCGUGCCAGUAUUUGUGUGACUGUGUGAUACUGUGGGACUUCAGUCUCACUGCUGCAUUUCAGACCAGGGCACAGUUAGCUAAGCAGAGUGACCUGAUUCAUGCUGGAUCAACAUGUUAUCAACUUGAGGUUGUCACUACAAAGUAAGUGUGGUGAAGUCUGCCUGUUCCAACUAAAAUCAAAGCCAUCUCCUGACAUACGGUAGUGCUGAAGUCAGCGGUUUCUACGAAGUGGGUCUAAAUGCAGAUUGAAGGAUCUCUUCGGUGUAUAAGUGUAACU
rnacentral:lncRNA from 1 species